GAUGAACGCUGGCGGCGUGCCUAAUACAUGCAAGUCGAGCGAACAGACGAGGAGCUUGCUCCUCUGACGUUAGCGGCGGACGGGUGAGUAACACGUGGAUAACCUACCUAUAAGACUGGGAUAACUUCGGGAAACCGGAGCUAAUACCGGAUAAUAUAUUGAACCGCAUGGUUCAAUAGUGAAAGACGGUUUUGCUGUCACUUAUAGAUGGAUCCGCGCCGCAUUAGCUAGUUGGUAAGGUAACGGCUUACCAAGGCAACGAUGCGUAGCCGACCUGAGGGGGUGAUCGGCCACACUGGAACUGAGACACGGUCCAGACGCCUACGGGAGGGAGCAGUAGGGAAUCUUCCGCAAUGGGCGAAAGCUUGACGGAGCAACGCCGCGUGAGUGAUGAAGGUCUUCGGAUCGUAAAACUCUGUUAUUAGGGAAGAACAAAUGUGUAAGUAACUAUGCACGUCUUGACGGUACCUAAUCAGAAAGCCACGGCUAACUACGUG
rnacentral:rRNA from 1 species